rnacentral:lncRNA from 1 species
AGGAUAUCAAAGAACAAAUAAUCCAUCUAUCCAAUUUCACUAUUACAUAGCAUACAGUUGAAAGCUGCCAUUUAUGUCAAGGUAUGCUGAUGCAGAGUUAUCAGAUAUUUUCAUUGACCUAGUGAACUGCGUAAUAUUGGUACUUGUGUAUCCAAACAUGGAACUUAAGAGUACCAAUACUCUAAAUUUAGUGUACCAAAAAUUCCUUUCUUAUUUUACAUAUAAUUACACAAAUAUCAAUAUUCUAACUUAGAAUUGGAUGCUCAACAUUACAUUUGUACUAAAUUAUUUAUAAAACAUUUAACUUAUUGAUUCAACUAAAGAAUUUCUAUAAAACUUAGGUGCAUUACAUUUAGAUUUUAAUUGAAUUCCUAACUAUAAGAACUUUUAUAAAUAUGUAUUGCGUACCUUUAUUCCUAUCGCGUAUCGAAACGAACCACGUUUCAGGUAACACUGUGAUGAUGUCAGCAAAAACUGCUUUCUUGGGCAUGAUUAUAAAUUUAAAGGUAUGGUCCAACACGAAUCGUGCUUUGGUAUCAUGUGAACAAGUAGGGUUUAAUAGAAAAGAAUAAGACAAUGAAGAAAUGUGUAAGAGAGAAAAUGCGUGCUGUCUUGUUAACUUGACCAACGUGAGAUAGAAUACUUGAAAGGAAAAUUAAUAACGUGACAUUUCUUUGGCAUAAAACUCCCAUGAAAGUUUUAGCGAUGUGUACUUAUAACUUGGCUCGUAGGGCUCAAAAGACUCGAGCAAUUUCUUACAGUUUAUUAAUGAAUUUCAAACAGUUGAUGAAAUAUUAAUUGAUUGUUCCCUAAAAUGAAUCCCGCUUUUUUUAAGGGGGUCCACCUAUGGAAGCCUGUCUAUUGGACCUAUUGGCGCCUGUUAGCUAUCAUAACUUUAAACUCUCUCUCUCUCUCUCACUCACACGCACACAAACACACAUACAUGCUCCUUACUCUCUAAUAAAGUUCUCUACGCUCGUCUUUGUGUGUGCGUGUGUGUACAUGUUAAGUAAGAUUUAUGUGCUUUCUUUCUAUGUCCAUUGACUCUACUUUAUCGUAAGUUUUCAGGAUGUGCAACCAACAAAUGAGUCCCAGGCAUCUAGAAGGAAAACAUGACUUGAUCGAUUCCUUUAAGUAAGGUAAAUUCUUCAAAUGCCAUGAAGAUUUAUAUUUUUAUUCAAGGUUUCCAAUAUCUUUAGCUUAAUUCUAUAUCUGAGAGCUUAUUAGAAUUUAUUUAUCUGUGAUUGUUAAUUUGCACGUGUCUUCAAUAAUGGAAAAUGUUUCGAAAGUUGUCAUUUUCUUUGUGGUUCUUGUUUGUAUCUGCCUACAAUAUAGGCUUAAUCUUGAUCAUUGUUGAGACUGGAAGCAUUUAUCUGACAGCAUGAAACUUGAUUUUGAGAAAUAUGAGUUAAUGGCUUUCAAUUUCCUUCUCAUGAAUUCUGUUAAAACGAAACACAGUACAUAGAGAAACUAAGAGGUAUGCCGUCAAUCCAUAAUUUUAAGUUCACAUUUGAAUGCUUCAAUGGUUAUGGGUUUGUUUGUAAAUCAUAUUUGGGGUGAUUUUUUUUCGAUAGCUGGAGUUCUGAAUAUUUCAUACACGAAUCACACUAAUGUUAUUUGAAUUUUGAAGCUCUUUCCGUAGAGUUGUUUAUUGAUUUUUUUCACUACAAUGUAAUAAAGGGAAACUUUAGUGGCUUAAUUGACUUUCACCGUGGGACAUUCUGAAGUGGAAAGGAAGGUAUUAAUUGAAUUGGAGGGAGCACUUUUUGGAUUCUUUUGGAUUACCAAAAAGGUAUUAAAUUGUAAAAGUGGUUUAAAUGUAGUUUUGUCACGGUUCGGUGAUAUAAUUUUGACUCUUUCUGUUGGGUUUUGGUUAGAACCAAAUAAAUCAAAAUGAAAAUUCGAAGCCAUAUAGUCAAAUUUUAAAUUGCUAAAUUAUGGAAAAGUAUCUUUAGUAGACAAUUGAUGCGUGAAAAGGAACUUUUCAAUUCACCAAGAAAGGAUCAGCAUAUGUAUGUGAGGUCUUUUGGCAGUGAAUGCAUGUGGAGCAUUUUGGUAUUAGAGACAUUAGUAAAGAACUCAUAUUGAAUAUAGCUGGUUUGAUCACUUUCAUAGUACUAUUUAAUACACAUUUCAAAUCUCCAUGUCAGUAUAAUAACUAACACAUGUGACCAUGAAUUCGUUAUAUAUUGAUUAGGGAUGUAAUAACUUUCAUGAUUCGAUGUUGGUAAUCUUAUUAAACCAUAUUGUGUUUAAAGUGUUUUCUCCGAGUUCUAUAAUGGUUCCAAAAUUUAGCCAAAUUAAAGUUUGUAUAAUACAUACAUACAGUUAAUAUUUGCAUAUGCCGGGGACUGUUGGAUUUUAUUUUACUAGUCUUUCAUAAAUUGCAAGCUGGUUUUAUUAUACAAAAAAUGGUAUAUGAAUAUAGUCCAUCUAAUGUCGAGGAUAUGCUUGAAAAAACAUAGUUUAAAACAUCUCUUACUUUGGAAAGGAGGGAGUAGUAUUAAUUGUUUGUGUAUAGUAUUAAUUAUUCGUUUAAGUUCACAAUUUUAGGGAUGGAUCAUUGAGAGAAUGAUUAUACUAGGGAAGAAUAAAAUAAAACUGUUGUAAGUUUGCGUAUUUGUUCAUUCUGAAGAAGGUAUUGAGUAGAGAAUCUAGACACUGAAGAAAGACUUCAACAUUGUGCAUGACAUGUGGACUGGUCCUAAUAGACGGUGAGCUUUCUUGGACAAAUUUUACUGCAAAUUCAUACAUGCAGGUAUUCAAAUGAGAUGCAAAUGGGUUAUAGACGGUCACAAUCCUACAGCUUUGUUUGAGCAAAAGCUUUUUCCAUUUUAAGAGAUGCUUGGCAUUAUUUUGGGAAGCAUUGUGCUACCAUGAUGAAGUAACAACAGGUGAUAUCAUGAAGGACGUGAACAUGAAAACUCGAACAUUGGAACUGGGGCUGAUAGGCUUGAAGACAUGAAUGCUUUGAUGUCCUAGCCAAAGUGGUGGUAAUCAGUAUUGCCAUGGGGAAGCAACUGAGCUAGUUGAGUAAUCGGAGUUGAAAGUUUUGAGAAGAGAAAGAAGAUUAAUGAGGUUCUGCCAAAGCUACCUAAUACUUGAGUUAAAUGUUACUUGGUAUGGUGCUACUCGAGUUAAAUGUUACUUGGUAUAGUGCUUGAACGAUUGUACUGUAAAUUUGCGACUUGUUAAGAUGGAUUUUGUUAAUGCUAUACUUGUUCAAAUUAUAUAUAGGACCUAAACUAAACUUUAGUGUUACUGAUAUUUUUUUCCCUUUUGUAUACAAAACUGGUACAACAUACAAGAAUUAUAGUUGUGCUGAAAUUGGUGGAAUAUUGAGUUGUCUGAAUGAGGGAAAACUUGCAGUCUUGUGACUUGAGGGUUCACUUGGCUGUGAGUUCUAGUUUCAUAGUAUAAUGUUUCUAAACAGUUGACUGUAGCCAAGACUAAAGUUACUCGAGAUGGGAUAAAGAAAGAGAACCAAAAGUGGAAAAAAUAUGACCAACCAAAAAAGGAUCGAAUUGAAUUUGUUAAAAUUUGAUUCUCACCAACACAUUCAUUUUACUUUGUUGAUGGAGGAUCUCAUACCAUUUGUGCUAAGCUCAUGGUACAAUUUUUUUCUUAUGCCUUUGAUAACUCCUUGUAAUGGAAGAUCU